rnacentral:lncRNA from 1 species
CUCAAGUUUCUGCCUGCAAAAUGGGAUGCUGAUGGUACCACGGAAUCUCUACAACUGAAGGAACUGUUCUGUGCCCCACACCUAGCCAACAAAUGAUCAUCCACUUGAAGAUUUUAAAGCCCAUGGGAUAGAAGGCAAUUUGAAAGAAGCAGCUUGCUGGAGAAGUCGUGAGCCAGGCUCUGGGACUCUGGGCAAAUCCAUCCUACUCGUCCAGCCACUGCAAUGGAAAUCCAGCUUUCUGGAUUGGAGCUCAGCAG